CUCUCCGUGCCUCCCGCCAGCGAGCAGACAAGCUUCCGGCUCAGGAAGGUGACGUCGGCGAGGCGCCCAUGGCAGAGAGGGGCGGGGCCUAGGAUUGUGUCUUCAGUUUCUCAAAUGUCAGUGGAGAUGGUAGGCCCCUGAGACUGAGGUGCUUCCCAGCUGCCAAGUGCCUAGUCCAAUCCCAGCACAUCAAAACGGAUUUGGAAACGGGAGGAAGAGAGGGAAGAAAGAGUGGAAGGAUGAUGGCCGAACAGAGUCUUCCUAUGUAGCCCAGGAUAACCUCCUGCUUCUGUCUUAUGAGUGCUGGGCUUCAGCUGUGCGCUCCCACAGGCAGCCAUGUGCAUGCUUUCUGAAGAACAGGAUGAUGGCAGAGAUACACGCACGCAGUGUGCAUCUGUGUGUGAGUGUAAAACCUGUGUUCCUGCAUGCGUGUGGUGUUUGCCAAUGACGAAGGCCAGAAGAGGUGUUUUGUUCCUGUUGUGAUAGAACACCCCGACUAAAGUCAACUUAGGGAAGAAAAGAUUUACUUUAGUUAAACAUCUCAGGCUACAGUAAUGUCCUUGCAGGGACACUGAGGCUUGAGACAGUCCCCAGUUAAGACAAGGACAAGGACUGAAUACUCAGCCCACUCUCUACACUCACAUGAUCUAGGACUGACCCUUACCCUGUCAGGCUUGUUUUGUCACUGGAGAAACGGAGAUCAGGUGUCCAUCCAGUCCAUCCUUGUGGCUUCUGUGGAGCCUUCUAUGCCAACCCCUGAAGGACAGUGUGGUAGAAAUACAGGGGCUCAUUUCUCACCCAGUCUCCUCGGCUCUCCUGUCCCUGAGCUCCAAGGAUCAUAAGCAUCAACUUCAAUUCCCAGGCCCACCGUUCGACAGCUCCGUGUGAGAGAUGCCUCUCAUGCCGUCAUCUGAUGCCUGAGUGCCACACGCCUCCACAUCCGUCACGUGAUUCAUGAAGAUUCACACUGAGAACUCGCUCUUUGGUAGAAUAUAUAAGUGAUCAGCAGACUCUCAGUUUAUGAUACAGUCACUGAAGAGCGAUUACCUUCCCUCCACCUGAUGGGCUCUGGUGUCUGAUGAUCAUGAACUUGCUCGUGUCACUUUUGAGAGCAAGUGACCUUGCGGCUUUGCAGUCCAGGCCAGUGACCUCGAGCUCACUAAGCACCUGCUAUCCCACAGUUUUCAUCUUCAUCCCAAGCUGAUAAGAUCAUGAUGAAAGUUCUGCCAGCCCCAAGUGGGGGGAGAGAAGGGGCCUUCGGUAAAGCUCGGUCCAUUAACUUUUGAUCAAAGACAGGUGCAUAAAUCCAUCUCCUGAGCAGAAGUUCAUCAUCAUCUCUCUGAAGCUCAUAGUGACACGACUCUGGAGGGGAACGAAUGACUUUGAAGCUCUUUAGACUGUUUGCUUUUUAGACCCUGAGAUGACACAUUGCCAACACAGGGGCAUUUUAAAGUUUUUGUUACAC